AUGUUCACUUCAAGAACAUCUGUACUGAAAUUGGAAGGAUACAGAGAAGUUUAGGAAGGCCUCUGUGCUUGUAUCUCGCACUCUCCACUUGGCUGUUUUAUUUUU